UAUUUAUAUAUCUUUGUUUACAUACUAUGGUUCCACCUACAUAAGAAGUAUAUAUAGGGAUCUUAGGAUCUUCUCAUGUAAAAAAUCAUGUUGAAAUUUUGUGUCUAUUUAUCUUUUCAUAAAUAUUAAAUGGACAAAACAUUCUGUGAAUAUUUAUGAAGAGUGAAAAAUAUCACAAUGCUUAACUUGAGUCUCUUGACAUUGUCAAAUGUCAUAUAACAUGAGAAGAUCACGUAUAUAAAGAGAAAUAUAGAUAGCAUUUUAAUUUGAAAGUAUCAUGUGAUAUAUACUAAUCCAAAAACAUGUAAUUAACAAGAUAAAAAUAUUGCAAAUAGUCGUUAGGUUCUAAAUUUUUCCAUUGAAUUUGAAUCAAUAAGUUCUAUAGUGGUGACACAAUAAUAAAGUAAUGACUAAAUAUAUAUGUUGUGUAACAUAUGUCAUUACAUAGAGAUCAUUCAAGCCUCAAGAACAAUAACAUAAACAUUUCCAUAUUAUUUACGAUCACCUAAAUAUUCUGUCUUGCUAUUCUUCUGUGUGAGGUCCUUGAUGCUUUUCUUGACCUUGGCCCAACCUUUCUUGCAGGCACCGGCAACCUUAACCCCACUUUUCACGAUGGCCUUCUUGGCUUUCUUCGCUGCAACCUUCGCCUUCUUUGCAGUCACCUUCACUUGCUCCUCAAAAUCUGCCAUCUAGAAUAUUGAAUUCUCAAAAUGAAUUCAAUUCAAUGGCGCCUGCAAAGGAGGGUGGUGUAUGCAGUAGUUAAUUAGCACGCACGCUGCAUCAAUGUAAUGCAGGUUUUGUUGCUUUAUUUAUAUAUGAUCAUGAAGACCUUUCCUUGACCAAAUCUUUCAGGAACAGGUAGAUUUCUAUGGUUAACCUUCAUUCCCGCUAAUGCCAAAUUUUAUUUGUUAGAUUAUGGUGCUAAUUAAGGUAAACCCCACUCAAAAUUCAAUGUCAAUGUACAUUUUGUUGAAAUUUUAAUUUUUAUUAUUAAUGACUGGUGAAAUGAAAUUACCUGAAAUUGAGGACAAAUGAAUGAGAAGUUGAGAACAAACAAAUGAAAAGAACCAAUAA
rnacentral:lncRNA from 1 species